rnacentral:rRNA from 1 species
GCAUCUUCUUGUUAUUAAAGAAUUUCGAUAAUCGAUGGGGAUGCGUUCCAUUAGUUUGUUGGCGGGGUAACGGCCCACCAAGACAUCGAUGGAUAGGGGUUCUGAGAGGAAGGUCCCCCACAUUGGAACUGAGACACGGUCCAAACUCCUACGGGAGGCAGCAGUGAGGAAUAUUGGUCAAUGGACGAGAGUCUGAACCAGCCAAGUAGCGUGAAGGAUGACUGCCCUAUGGGUUGUAAACUUCUUUUAUAUGGGAAUAAAGUGAGCCACGUGUGGCUUUUUGUAUGUACCAUACGAAUAAGGAUCGGCUAACUCCGUGCCAGCAGCCGCGGUAAUACGGAGGAUCCGAGCGUUAUCCGGAUUUAUUGGGUUUAAAGGGAGCGUAGGCGGAUUAUUAAGUCAGUUGUGAAAGUUUGCGGCUCAACCGUAAAAUUGCAGUUGAUACUGGUAGUCUUGAGUGCAGCAGAGGUAGGCGGAAUUCGUGGUGUAGCGGUGAAAUGCUUAGAUAUCACGAAGAACUCCGAUUGCGAAGGCAGCUCACUGGACUGUAACUGACGCUGAUGCUCGAAAGUGUGGGUAUCAAACAGGAUUAGAUACCCUGGUAGUCCACACAGUAAACGAUGAAUACUCGCUGUUUGCGAUAUACAGUAAGCGGCC